rnacentral:rRNA from 1 species
UUAAGUGAAUAAGGGCGCACGGUGGAUGCCUUGGCACUAGGAGCCGAUGAAGGACGGGACUAACACCGAUAUGCUUUGGGGAGCUGUACGUAAGCUAUGAUCCAGAGAUUUCCGAAUGGGGGAACCCAACAUCUUUAAUAGGAUGUUACGAUUGUGUGAAUACAUAGCACAUUCGAGGUAGACGCAGAGAACUGAAACAUCUAAGUACCUGCAGGAAGAGAAAGAAAAUUCGAUUCCCUGAGUAGCGGCGAGCGAAACGGGAAAAGCCCAAACCAGCAAGCUUGCUUGUUGGGGUUGUAGGACUCCAAUAUGGUAGUUCUUUCAGAUAGUCGAAUGACUUGGAAAAGUCAGUCAAAGAGGGUAAAAACCCCGUAGACGAAAUGUGGAAGACACCUAGGAGGAUCCUGAGUACGGCGGAACACGAGAAAUUCCGUCGGAAUCCGGGAGGACCAUCUCCCAAGGCUAAAUACUCCCUAGUGACCGAUAGUGAACCAGUACCGUGAGGGAAAGGUGAAAAGCACCCCGGAAGGGGAGUGAAAUAGAACCUGAAACCGUGUGCCUACAACAAGUCAAAGCCCGUUAAUGGGUGAUGGCGUGCCUUUUGUAGAAUGAACCGGCGAGUUACGAUUGCAUGCGAGGUUAAGUUGAAGAGACGGAGCCGCAGCGAAAGCGAGUCUGAAUAGGGCGUUUGAGUAUGUAGUCGUAGACCCGAAACCAUGUGAUCUACCCAUGUCCAGGUUGAAGGUGCGGUAAAACGCACUGGAGGACCGAACCCACGUACGUUGAAAAGUGCGGGGAUGAGGUGUGGGUAGCGGAGAAAUUCCAAACGAACUUGGAGAUAGCUGGUUCUCUCCGAAAUAGCUUUAGGGCUAGCCUCGGAAUUGAGAAUGAUGGAGGUAGAGCACUGUUUGGACUAGGGACCCAUCUCGGGUUACCGAAUUCAGAUAAACUCCGAAUGCCAUUCAUUCAUAUCCGGGAGUCAGACUGUGAGUGAUAAGAUCCAUAGUCGAAAGGGAAACAGCCCAGACCACCAGCUAAGGUCCCAAAAUAUAUGUUAAGUGGAAAAGGAUGUGGGGUUGCACAGACAACUAGGAUGUUGGCUUAGAAGCAGCCACCAUUUAAAGAGUGCGUAAUAGCUCACUAGUCGAGUGACCCUGCGCCGAAAAUGUACCGGGGCUAAACAUAUUACCGAAGCUGUGGAGUACACCUUUAGGUGUAUUGGUAGGAGAGCGUUCUAAGGGCGUUGAAGGCAGAUCGUGAGGACUGCUGGAGCGCUUAGAAGUGAGAAUGCCGGUAUGAGUAGCGAAAGACAGGUGAGAAUCCUGUCCACCGAAUGACUAAGGUUUCCUGGGGAAGGCUCGUCCGCCCAGGGUUAGUCGGGACCUAAGCCGAGGCCGACAGGCGUAGGCGAUGGAUAACAGGUUGAUAUUCCUGUACCCGUUGUUUUUGUUUGAGCAAUGGAGGGACGCAGGAGGCUAAGGAAUGCAGACGAUCGGAAAUGUCUGUCCAAGCAGUAAGUCUGAAGAGGAGUCAAAUGCUUCUUUUCUUAAGGACAAGCUGUGAUGGGGAGGGAAAUAAUAGUACCGAAGUUCCUGAUGUCACACUGCCGAGAAAAGCUUCUAGUGAGAAAACAGCGGCCCGUACCGCAAACCGACACAGGUAGUCGAGGAGAGAAUCCUAAGGUGAGCGAGAGAACUCUCGUUAAGGAACUCGGCAAAAUGACCCCGUAACUUCGGGAGAAGGGGUGCUGAUCAUACGAUCAGCCGCAGUGAAUAGGCCCAAGCGACUGUUUAUCAAAAACACAGGUCUCUGCAAAAUCGUAAGAUGAAGUAUAGGGGCUGACGCCUGCCCGGUGCUGGAAGGUUAAGAGGAGUGCUUAGCGCAAGCGAAGGUACGAAUUGAAGCCCCAGUAAACGGCGGCCGUAACUAUAACGGUCCUAAGGUAGCGAAAUUCCUUGUCGGGUAAGUUCCGACCCGCACGAAAGGCGUAACGAUUUGGGCACUGUCUCAACGAGAGACUCGGUGAAAUUUUAGUACCUGUGAAGAUGCAGGUUACCCGCGACAGGACGGAAAGACCCCAUGGAGCUUUACUGUAGUUUGAUAUUGAGUGUCUGUACCGCAUGUACAGGAUAGGUAGGAGCCGUAGAAAUCGGAACGCUAGUUUCGAUGGAGGCGCUGGUGGGAUACUACCCCUGCGUUAUGGCCACUCUAACCCGCACCACUAAUCGUGGUGGGAGACAGUGUCAGAUGGGCAGUUUGACUGGGGCGGUCGCCUCCUAAAAGGUAACGGAGGCGCCCAAAGGUUCCCUCAGAAUGGUUGGAAAUCAUUCGAAGAGUGUAAAGGCAGAAGGGAGCUUGACUGCGAGACCAACAAGUCGAGCAGGGACGAAAGUCGGGCUUAGUGAUCCGGUGGUUCCGCAUGGAAGGGCCAUCGCUCAACGGAUAAAAGCUACCCUGGGGAUAAC